rfam:Myotis lucifugus cont2.20377, whole genome shotgun sequence.
GGUGGUUCUCGGGUGACGCACCCUAGAAUCAGGCUCCUUUCUCUCUGGUUCCGGGUGCGUCAUCUGAGAACCACA